rnacentral:rRNA from 1 species
UACAGAGGUCUCAAGCGUUGUUCGGAUUCAUUGGGCGUAAAGGGUGCGUAGGUGGCGCUGUAAGUCGGGUGUGAAAUUUCGGAGCUUAACUCCGAAACUGCAUUCGAUACUGCGGUGCUUGAGGACUGGAGAGGAGACUGGAAUUCAUGGUGUAGCAGUGAAAUGCGUAGAGAUCAUGAGGAAGACCAGUGGCGAAGGCGGGUCGUCUGGACAGUUCCUGACACUGAGGCACGAAGGCCAGGGGAGCAAACGGG